rnacentral:misc_RNA from 1 species
UUAAUUUUUUAACCUUCUACCAAACAUACUCUUAGGGGCAAUCAAAUGAAAAGAACCAGAAUUGAAAAAGUGAAAAUGAAAAAAAUGGUUAGAUGAACCGAAUAGAUUAGAUAAUAGUCAUGGUUUUUCAUUUUGGGUUUCAUGUGUAGGAAGGUGAAAGUGGCACAAUGGGAUAAAUUAAGAGAAUGGAGAUUGAGAUGGUUUGGAUGUGUGCCUUGUAGACUAAGCAAACUCAUCAAUAUAGAAGGUUGGGCAUGUUGAAUUUAAGUGAUAAGAGAAAG